ensembl:lncRNA
CAGAAGGCAUUGGCAAGAGCCUGGGUAAACAACGUGGAUCUAAGGCAAACGAAACCCACAGUUCAUUUUCAGGUCAGCCAUGAAGACAGUUGCAGAUGGAGAGGGCAGAGAGGUAAGAAUUUGCCUCCUUUGCUUUUAGAAGAAAAGCAAGAGAAAAAUCAACUCAACGGAUCAGAUGGGGACACAAGCAAAAGGUCCAGGAGGCGAUUUUCCUAGAAGCAAGCUAACUUUAGAUCUGUGUCUUAGGGUAUAAAAUGCAACUUCCACAAGGGCAUAAUCGAGCUCCCUGCAUCCAGAGGCUGCCGCACGAUGGAAGCCGUCAGUGGGGCACUGCCUGCCCCACCACCAUUUCCUGCCCGGCCCUCACAGGGCAGCGCAGGGCCCUCCCUGACAGCAACUGGGACUAUUGUAACCAAAAAAUAUGUUCCCAUUAAAAAAUGAGGAUGAUAGCAAUUAAUUCCACAUUUCUGUGAAUAAAUAUCAUGUGUCUUAUGCCAGAGCAAUUUGGCUUGUUCACAGAAGCUAACAGUGACACAUAAAUCCAUUUUCCCUGUUGCUCAACAGACCACCUCACUCUGCAGACCAGAUUUUGCAUUGGAAAAGACUUCUUUUGUUUCUGGCUUUCACUUUGCUCCUUGCCAUCCACCUUCCUGUCAACCUAUGGGUUACAUCAUUCAUUCAAAGCAACUCAAGUCCAGGUUGUCUUGGGACUGCUUGGUCCCAACAGCCACUGACCUGGUGACUUUACUUCCAGAAGCUGCCCACUGUUUCCCAGAAGUGACGUUCCUUGACUGGAGCCAAUGACCUGGAUCUGUCCCCUCUCCUGGAGCCAGUCCCAGCAGCAGAGAUGUGCCAGGAGCAUCCCUGCCAGCAUGACCAGUCUGCUUGUCCUGUGCACAAUGAGGAAAGAGCUCUCUUCUAGCACGUGUGGUCCUGAGCUACUGAGCCACAAGGACAGACCAACAUCUGAAUCAACAGAGGCAAAGCCAUACAGAAGAAAAGCUAAUGUGCUCCUACCUUUUCUCAGCUGUAUUAUUUACUUGACUCCAAUGAUUCCAUCAUAUUGAAAAAUCAAUGGCGUUUUAGAAGUGUAAAACCAAGGAAAAGCUGUAUGGAUUCUGACUAUUUUGAACUACUUCUCUGAACGGGUGGUCAGGCACUGGAAUGGGCUGCCCAGAGAGGUGGUGGAGUCACCGAGCCUGGUGGUGUUCAAAGAGCGUUUGGAUGUUGUGUUGAGGGACAUGGUUUAGUGAGAACCAUUGGUGAAGGGCGAGUGGUUGGACUGGAUGAUCCUGUGGGGCUUUUCCAACCUCAGCGAUUCUGUGAUUCUAUGAAGCUUUACAGAUGCUUGCUGACCUAACAUGGGAGGAGUAUCAUUAUUUUAUUGACGAAACUCUUUUUUUUGUUGUUGUUUUAAUAUGGAAAAUCUCAGUGGCACUUCACUCCAUUUGUCUUUUUUUUUUUUCCUUUUUAGUCAUAUGAUAAUGUACACUUAUAACCAGUGAAUCAUCCCCCCAAAAAGUCAUAAAGAGAAAAAUAGCUCAUAUGUAUGCCUCAGCGGCCAAUGAAUCAUUGACGACAGGUUUCCUACAACCCCCUUCUCCUACCUCCAAGCUUCAGCGGCACAGAAACCGACCCAAUACACUGCUGUAUUCACUGCUAACUGCACAGCCAGCCCCAGGAGCUGCAGUCUGAGGACCAGCAAGCAUCAUGCAAAGAGACAGGACAAUUUACCCUAUCUUACACAGAGUGGUUUCUUAAAUUUAUUAUGAUAAAAGCACAGAAUCAAACCACAAG